GGGCCCGCACAAGCGGUGGAGUAUGUGGUUUAAUUCGAUGCAACGCGAAGAACCUUACCAGGGUUUGACAUCCUGCGAAUCUCUUGGAAACGAGAGAGUGCCUUCGGGAACGCAGUGACAGGUGGUGCAUGGCUGUCGUCAGCUCGUGUCGUGAGAUGUUGGGUUAAGUCCCGCAACGAGCGCAACCCACGUCUUUAGUUGCCAGCAUUUAGUUGGGCACUUUAAGGAAACUGCCGGUGAUAAGCCGGAGGAAGGUGGGGAUGACGUCAAGUCAUCACGGCCCUUACGGCCUGGGCUACACACGUGCUACAAUGGCUAGGACAGACGGCCGCAAACCCGCGAGGGGAGCC
rnacentral:rRNA from 1 species